CCCAGGUCAGUAGAAGAUGGAGAAGAAAGCCUUGUGUCUCAUUGCCACAAUUUCCACGAAAUGAUCGGAAAUCUGGGACUGAAAUUGGCAUCGAUGUGUUAUGGAAUGCAUUUGCCAGAAAACAAGGUGAGAGGUUUGCUCCAGCUGUGAACGCGUCUUCCGUCUUCAACAAUUGACUCAACCGUGUCAGUGACUCCUCACACGAGGAGAUUGAAUACGUUCUCCAUCAACGACGUCAGACUCGUGUUCCACAGCGGCUGCAUCCAUGUCAAGAUUACAUGUCGCAUAUCAUAGUUCGUCUGGUAUUAAAUUUGCAGGGUUGAAAGUUAAUAUGAAGUGUAAUGUUUGCUUUGUGUUGUAGUUAUUUUCAAACUAUUACAAAGUAGUGUUCAGGAAGAGUACUUUGCUACACGUACAUGUAGUAGUGGUUUAUUUCCGUGUAGGUGUGGCAAUAUAAACAACAAUGCACAUGUAGGACGACCGGUUUUCUUUUUGAUGGUAACAUAUUUGUGAGGACAAAUCUGCAAUUUGGCGCUUCUCCGUGAACAAUUAUUUAUUUAGAAUUGAAUUCUAGUAUUUAUUUUGGUGAUGUUUACUUUUGGAAAGAAAGAAGACAUUCCAACCGUGUUAAAUGCAUUUUUAGAAGUCUUUGGAAGUUAUUGUUAUAUUGUCAAGUCGUCAAGUUAUAUUGUCAAGUACGCGCCAUAUUUGAUCCACGGACUAGAUAGACGGUGGUUCAACUGGUUGUGAACUCGGUCUAAUGCUUUAGAAAGCGCCUGGAAGUUGUAGUGUGUGUUCAGUUGUUCUUCGGAAGAAAAAAA
rnacentral:lncRNA from 1 species